AGUGAAGGGAAAAGCUCCCUAUACCCUGCACAUUUUCAGGGACCACAAGUGAAGUCACUGUGUCACAACAACUGAGUCUGAUUCAUGGGGCUGUGGGCUGUGCAGGGCCUUAAGAAGAGACCAUGUCUCUCUCACAAGCCCACAACCACACCAAACACCCAGGGCCCGCCUGAGGAGGAUCCUUCCACUUCUUAAGAUGCCUGCGGCAGCAACCUUCCCCUCACCCAGCCCACGGUGGAUGACCCUUACAGUCAGAAAAACUGAGGUCGCAUGCCUCAGAGAGACUCAGCCCCAUCCAGAGUGUGAAAGGAACGAGCCAAUUCCCAUGGCAGCAAAGGGCACAGCCGUCCUUACCAUACACGCCGUGCUCCAGAUGUCCGCAGGGGUGCUGUACCCCGCUCCUAUUAAAACCUCUAUGGAGCGGUACUGACGCGUCUGGAUGUCUUCCGUGAAGUGUUUAUGCUGGAAGGGAACAGGCUGCAUUACCACGGAGCAACACAGACAUUCAAAAAGUGUCUUCGCACACAGAAUCAAGACCAAAGGUUUUAGAAAGAAAACUCUACUUACCACCCAACAAGCAUUUCCCAGUUUCUUCGGGUCCAGGUCAGCCCUAGAACAAGCCAGCCUUGCUGUCCCCCUGUCUGCAGCUUUGUGGCGGCUCUUCAUGGUGUCAAUCCAUCCCUUCACGGCCCAGAUCGAGCUUGCUGAUGCAUUAUUACAAGGAACAUGAAGGUAGAAAGAACACUGCUGUGGGGGCCGAUCACUCUCAGUGACACACAGUUCCUUGGACGCCACAAGACAUCAGGGUCCCUGGCACCGACACCUCACACCCACAUCAUCCCCUACAGUUCCCACUGCUUGGGCUGAGCACACACAGAUCUCAAGGGGUAGAUGACUGUUGAUUAACAAACACAGAUUAAAGGCAGGGACUAAACUAUUCUGGUUUUGUUUUAGACAAGGAAGGUCCCAGACAGAGGUCUCCUGAGAUGGCCUGGGCCAUAAAGGCAACCUCUGAGGUCAGUCAUGAACUUGUCAUGUACAUGAGCAGUCAUUCUAAAUUCCAGGAUGACUCCAGGGAAUCUCAAAGGCAGGUAUAGGGCCAGCUUCCCAGAGAUUCUGGGGCCAGAUCUUCUCAAACAAGUUCAGAUCAUGCCUGUAUCAAGCAGAGUUAACCAAGGGGCAAGUGACAAACAAAAAUAAUCUGGUGAGGCCCAGAAAAAUAGUCCUUAAAGUCAGCAUCUUCAUCACCAAACCUCAGACUGACCUACAAGAUCAGAUUUCUGGUAAAGAUGAAAUAAAACCAGGACUUUUAUUUACUGUAUAAGUAAUUUUGAAAUGGUAUUUAAAAACCAAGCAGAAAAGCCUGUUCAAUGUAGAACAUUAAACACUGAUAUGAUUCGGGUUUGUGUCCCUGCCCAUAACUCAUGUCGAAUUGUAAUCCCUAGUGUUAGAAGAGGGGCCUGGUGAGAGGUGACUGGAUCAUGGGGGCAGAUUUCCACGUUGCUGUUCUCGUGAUACUGAGUGAGUUCUCACGAGAUCUGGUUGUUUAAAAGUGUGUAGCACGUCCCCCUUCUCUCCUCCUCCUGCUCCAGCCAUGUAAGAUGCCUGCUUCCCCUUCUACCAUAUUUGAAAGUUUCCUAAGGCCUCCCCAGCCAUGCUUCCUGUACAGCCUGUGGAACUGUGAGCCAAUUAAACCUGUUUUCUUUAUAAACUACCGGGUUUCCGGUAUUUUUUACAGCAAUGUGAGAACAGACUAAUAUAAACACCUACCUAGGAGAGCCCCUUUGUUUCCUUGAAGCUGGGCACUGCUGAAAUGAACUAAACCUCUGUUGGGGUACAUACGAGCUGUGAAACCAGGGUGCUUGGGGAGGCUCUGAUUCUUCAGCAAGCCCCAUAAGAGGAAGGAGGGCCAGCCUUGCAACUUGCCGUAAGGCAGUGAACAGGCAAGGGCCUCAGGACCUAGGGUGCCCACACAGCUCCCUAGGGGGGCUCC
rnacentral:lncRNA from 1 species